ensembl:lncRNA
AUGAACCUUCCAAGUUGCAAACCUUCAAAGAUGCGAAGGUGUGCUCCAUCAACAUCAGGCGUGGGUGAAGUUGCAGCUCACCCUCCGUCUGUUGGUGCUGACGAUCCUUCAGCUCUGGUGUCUCCCACCUCAUUUCUCCCUCCUGCAGUAACUCUACUUGCCUCUUCACUUGACACCUGUCCCUGCAUGCCAGCUGGUGUUCUGUACUACUUUUCAAGGUACUGUGCUGUAAGGUUCAAAAUGUUUUAUUUUUUGCUUGUUUUUUUUAAUGUGUGUGUGUGUGUGUGAAAGCUAUUAUAAACCUAUUAGUACAGUACUCUAUAGCCAGUUGUGUUAGUUGGGUACCUCAGCUAACUUUGUUGAAUUUAACAAAUUGGACUUAAAAUAUACACUCUCAAAACUUUGUUCCUGUGUAGAAGACUUACUGUAAAAUCUUAACAGGUGGGGCCUGUGGUUUAGUAAGAAUGGUAAUGAAGAAGGAUCUACCUGACAACUUAGCUAUACCUAACAGCUUAGCCUUGCUUAUAAUCAGCAACAAAAGAGCCUCAAAUAAAAUACAUUUGUAGAACUAAGCAGUGUGACUGGCACAAUAGACUGAUAGCAUUAUUUUGCUUUUUAAAAAAAGUCCAGCUGAAACUCUUACUGCUGUUGGGUGUAUAAAUUGAUUGUAGUCACUUUGGGAAAUUGAUAUAUUUUAUGAAUACUGUAACUUUGUUACAGUUGAAUUUAGGACUAUAAUUCAGCAAUUUCUCUUCUGAGUGUAUAUCCAAGAAAAUGAGUGCAGAUUUCUACAUAUAUAGGGAUGUUCAUAGUAGUUUGAUUCAUUAUGGCCUCAAACAGGAAUAAAGUGAAGUAUAUUUGUACAAUGGAAUACUACCCAGCAAUAAAACAGAAUAAACUGCUACACACCAUAACAUGGAUGGAUCUCAUAGGUAUUUGUUAAAAGAAAUAGACAAAAACCAAUUCAUAUUGUAUAAUUCCAUUUAUAUGAAACUCAAGGGCAAAGAAAACUAAUUCAUGAUGAUAGAAGUCAAGAUAGUAGUUAUUUCUCUAGGCAUAGGUAUUGACUUAGAAGGGGCUCAAGAGAGCCGUAUAAAAUGAUGGAAAUGUUCUGGAUCUUGAUCUUACUGGUUGUUAAAUGAUAGCAUACAUAUAAAGUUGAUCAAGCUGAAUACUUAAAUUUUGUGAGCUUUACAUGUGAUGUACCCCAAUUUUAAAAAAUUAGUUAAUUAUGAAAAAAAAUAAGGAAACCUAAUUUUGAACUACUUGAAGUGUUAUAUCUUAAACACUUGGUUAAACACAGGGUUGGCUACCUAACAAGUUCUCAAAAGGUAAAAACAACUCUAGUGCACUGUUAGUGAAAAUAAGUUUUGGAUUUGAAAUUAGACCUAGUUUUGUAGCACAGCUUCAUUAUUACUAUGUGACUUAAGGCAAGGCCCUUACAUUGGGAAUUUUUGUAACUGGAAGAACAGAGGAUGAGUUGGGAGAAGUAUAAAAAAAAUUCUUAAAAAGUUUAGGCUUGGUUCAUGAUCCCCCACUACUGAGAAAUAGCCACAGACAUUCAGGGUGGGCCUCAGCAGCUAUAUAUAUAUGUACAGGAAUCCCCUGCUUUCCGAAAGUUCACUUGAUGCCAUUUCACUUUUAUGAAAAACGUACCUUGGUACCUGUUUUCAUUAAGGAAAAUAAAUCCAAGGAGGAUUCUUGUUUUUACAAAAGAACACAAAAAGUGAAAAUAGCAUUCAGCAUUUGUUUUGCACUGAGCUGUUACAGCAGGUGGCAUGUACCCUGAGCAGCAAGAGUGGCACUUCUAAACUCCUUCCUUGAAAAGACACAGCCUCUCAGCAUCAAGUCAUCAUACUUUGAACUGUGUCUCUGAGCAUCUGUGCUCUAUCUCCACUAACUUUGUGCAUCUUUUAGCAAGUUGUGUCCUAAGGUAAUUGCUUCUUCCCUUUAUAUCCUUUAGGUUUCAAAAUGUUUCAUAGUAACACUAUCCUAGCUUUAGCUCGGGUGAACAGCUGAACCCUAUCUGAACCAAUCAGAUUGUUCUGAGAAUUUAAAAUUGGGAUUGAGAAAGUAUCAGACAGCUGAUCUUUUCCUGAGAAACAUAAAAUUAGGCCAGGGCUACUUUGGGAGCAGCAUGUGGAGAAUCAGAGUUAUGUUCUCUACAGGUAAAGAAACUGAGAAGUAAAUGAAAUAUUUUUAUUUCCUUUUCUCUCUCUCUUUUUUGAAGCUAAAAUAAAACCCAGGCAGUUUGAUUCCAGUCUGUGUUCUCAUGAAGCAGUGCUGACAUGUCAGACCUAAUAGCUGCUUUGAUUCCUGAUAAUUUUCCAGUUCCUGAUCGUAGUCCCUUGUGAAGAGGAAUCUGCUCCUUAUCUUUGAAAUAUUUGUCAUACUUUAUUCUUAUAAUAAAAUUUCAUGUUUGCUCAAGUGGAUCAGCCAGUUGCAACUGAAAGAAUCCCGCUCUAAUUUGACCGUGAAUGGGAAUGCAAAGAGCAAAGUUCAGAGAAACUGAAACUGAGAGAAUCAAGAUAGGGCUGCAGGCAAUAGAGACUUUCCUGCNNNNNNNNNNNNNNNNNNNNNNNNNNNNNNNNNNNNNNNNNNNNNNNNNNNNNNNUCUUAGAACUCAGACUAAUACAGUCACUGUUGUAGGGCACAGAGAUCUUGGUAGCCAAAUAUAAAACACAUUGGUGCAUUGCUUUCUAUGUGUGGAGUUUUGAAAAGUAUAUUUGAAAAGAAUUCCAGAAAAAAGUUCCUAGAUGAAAGUAGAUUGGAGUUGACUUGUGCCAAAUUUAGCAAUUAUUAGAAGUCAAUUUGCCUUUGGUCUGAGAAUAUACAACCAGAUCAAGAAAUGACUGAAGGGGCUCAUUGAAUUACAACAUAAAAUUUUCCCACCUGUUUCUAACACUAGAAUACCAGAAAAUGAAGUUUUAGGAAUAGG